CCCGUUUGAUUGUGGACUAUUACUGACACCUUGUGGUGGUGGGAAAUGCUGCGCGUCAAUAGUUUGGCACUUCCGGUUUAGUUUGGACACUUCCGGUUUACGAUGUUAGUUCAGUUCAUAAAAAAUGAGAAGUAGACGAGUUGUGUUAACUCUUACAAGCCUUGGAAAAGAUACGUCUUUUUACAAGAAGAAUAAUAAUAAAAACUAAAAAUCCAGUGCAAGACAAAGCAAGAUCAACAACAAUAAAGAGCCUAAAUGGAUUCAUCUGCUUUGGAACUUUAUUAGAAUGUCCUGGAUUGGUUGUUAGCUGUCUGCCAAGCUUUAUAACCUCAACACAUUCAGUGAGGGCAGAACAGACAUCAUGCACAAAAGUGCACUGAUAGCUUGUUUUAAAAUGUCUCUGACAAAUCUUGCACUUUGUUUUGAAAUUACAUGAAUGUUUGUGCCACUGCUUAAUAAUUGUUUAAUAAAUACACUUGUGGUAAAUUGA